UAUAGUUACUCACGACAAAUGAGCUUCCAAGAGAAUACCAUGUUGAAUUUGAAACGUUGGUUAACCUAAAGUGUGCUUUCGUGAUCAAAGUGACAGACUUUAAUAUUGUCAAUGGUGUGGAGAAUUAUGGAAUAUCAGUUGUUACCACUGAUGUUGAAAUCUUGGAUGAGCUCAAUAAAAAAUGGAAAAUUGACCAGCUUGAUGUCUCUGAUUCGUUUGGUAUGAGUCAGUCUGAGUUCCAAUAUGCUGGUGGUGAAUGCUCUAAGGAUGGUGAUUCUUACACUGGGGAUAACUCCACACCUGUUUCAAAGGAUUACGUGGGUGAAUUAAAGCAAUCAUCUUCUGAUUUGAAGCGUAACCUUGGUGAUGUUUAUGUCAUUGAAGAGGGAUUGGGGUCGGCAGCAAGUAAGUCUCGCAUGUGCGUUGAGAAUAAUGAUCUUGACGAAGAUUUAGGCAAGAAUUGAUAAACGAGAUUUUGCAAAUGGUGGUUACAAUAAAAACAAUUUAUUUGUUAUUGGACUAUUGGAAUUUUGUUUUGUGGUUUUUAAUUUUUGAUGUUUGAAUACAUUUUUAUGGUUUCCCUAUAUAUUAUGACAUUUUGACUUAUUCUUUACUA